rnacentral:rRNA from 1 species
UACGUAGGGUGCAAGCGUUGUCCGGAAUUAUUGGGCGUAAAGAGCUCGUAGGCGGUCUGUCGCGUCUGCUGUGAAAACUCAGGGCUUAACCCCUGAGCUUGCAGUGGGGUACGGGGCAGACUAGAGUGCGGUAGGGGGAGACUGGAAUUCCUGGUGUAGCGGUGAAAAUGCGCAGAUAUCAGGGAGGGAAACACCCGGUGGGCGAAAGGGCGGGGGUCUCUGGG